UCAUAUCACGUUGAAACAUCGGUUCUCGUACGAUCACCGGAGUUAAGCAAUGUCAAACUUGGUCAGUAACAAGAUGGGUGACUGCUUCGAAAUACCAGGUGCUGUAA